rnacentral:misc_RNA from 1 species
GAUGAAGAACGUAGCGAAAUGCGAUACUUGGUGUGAAUUGCAGAAUCCCGUGAACCAUCGAGUCUUUGAACGCAAGUUGCGCCCGAAGCCAUUAGGCCGAGGGCACGCCUGCCUGGGCGUCACACGUCGUUGCCCCCCCCAUCUACUCCUUCGGGAUUGCGGGGGGCGGAUGAUGGCCUCCCGUGCGCCUCGCCGCGCGGUUGGCAUAAAUGCCAAGUCCUCGGCGACGCACGCCACGACAAUCGGUGGUUGCGAAACCUCGGUUGCCCGUCGUGUGCGGUCGUCGCGCAUCGAGGGCUCGAAAAAAUUGCCGAGUUCCGGCUCGGCUUUCAACGCGACCCCAGGUCAGGCGGGGUUACCCGCUGAAUUUAAGCAUAUCGAUAAGCGGAGGA